rnacentral:rRNA from 1 species
UGGGGAAUCUUGCGCAAUGGCCGAAAGGCUGACGCAGCGACGCCGCGUGAGGGAUGACGGCCUUCGGGUUGUAAACCUCUGUUGCCCGGGACGAACGCCCUUUUCGAAGGGUCUGACGGUACCGGGUGAGGAAGCACCGGCUAACUCUGUGCCAGCAGCCGCGGUAAUACAGAGGGUGCGAGCGUUGUCCGGAAUCACUGGGCGUAAAGGGCGCGUAGGCGGUGACUUAAGCGUGUGGUGAAAGCUCGGGGCUCAACCCCGAGUCGGCCGUGCGAACUGGGUCACUGGAGCAUGUCAGAGGCAGGCGGAAUUCCGGGUGUAGCGGUGGAAUGCGUAGAGAUCCGGAAGAACACCGGUGGCGAAGGCGGCCUGCUGGGACAUGGCUGACGCUGAGGCGCGACAGCGUGGGGAGCAAACAG